UACGUAGGGCGCAAGCGUUGUCCGGAAUUAUUGGGCGUAAAGAGCUCGUAGGCGGUUUGUCGCGUCUGCUGUGAAAACCUAAGGCUCAACCUUGGGCUUGCAGUGGGUACGGGCAGACUAGAGUGCGGUAGGGGUGACUGGAAUUCCGUGGGUGAUAGCGGUGGAAUGCGCAGAUAUCGAGGAGGAACACCGAUGGCGAAGGCAGGUCACUGGGC
rnacentral:rRNA from 1 species